UUGACGUUUUUGACCAGCUAUGUCACGGUAAAUCAGUAUCAAGAAGAACUAAAAAAUGGCCUUUACGAGUAUUAUAUGGCAUGCUUGAUGGAGGUGCCGUAAAUUCGUAUGUAAUUUACCAAGCAAACAACAGCAAUACUAAUAAAAAAUUCCACGAAUAAUGUUCUUAUUGCAGCUGGGCGAGGAACUAACUAUAAAACAUAUGAAGAGGAGGCUUGAAAUUCCGAAUUUACCAAGUACUCUCAGGCUACAAAUUUUAGAGAUAUUGGGUAUAGCGGAAAGUAACACCUCUAGACAGGCACCACCUCUUGCAGAAAAUAACAAAAGUAAACGCUGCUCUAUUUGUCCUCGGACGCAGGAUAGGAAAGGCAGAGAUCAAUGUGUCAAGUGUGAACAAAAAUUAUGCGCCGAACACAGAAACGCAAUUUGUCAAUUUUGUAUUUAAAUAUUUGGUUGUUUUUUCCUAAUAAAUCUUUUAAAAGUCUU